GUGGUGUGGUUAGGUUUUUUUGAUACAAAGUUCUGAGUAGAGGUAGUGAUCUCUGAAGAUGAAAGAUAUGUGAACAGCAGGAAAGUUGGCUCUUUGCCAUGAUCUCAGAUUAGACUCAAUUCCUGAGGCAGAGUUGCCCUCUGGGCCAAGAUUCCUGGAAGAAGGGAUUGUCUGCCUGCUGUUUAACUACAGGUGAAUGAAACAAGAUACACAGAAUCUGUGUCAUUGCUUGUCCACUCUGCAGCCAUUCUGCAGGGCAUCUACUACCACUCAGCAGAUGCUGGUAUCAGUAUAGGACAAUGGUGAUGGAAGAAGGGGCAGCACUAGCCUUAAUUAAGCCUCACAAUAUUCACAGCAGGUAUCAUCGGACCCAUUUUACAGAGUUCUAAACACUUGCUUGCGUGCACAUGCUUGAAGAUCUUGAAGGUGUAGACAGCACUCCGUUGGGAAUUUGUUGGCUGGCUCAAAAACAGGAAGAAAAGGUUCAUCUAUUCAUUAAGCAAACCUGAGCAAGGAACAAGACAGAACUGCAUAAUUUCAGCAAAAGCUGCAACCUUAGGAAAGGAAUCAGACAAAAGAAAAAUCCUGAUGACAACACCACAGCUGACCCCUGAAUGUUUGUAAAGUGGAGCUGGUUGGGAAUUUUCCAUACUGCCUGGAGCACUGGUGGCUGGCGACGCCACAGCUGCACCUCCCGGCUGGAGCCGGGCCACACUGCUGCUGCCACCACGCAGCACAAAACACUGGGUCAGGACAGGAUCUUCAGCUGCACUGCUCCAGGAGAUCAGAGCCCCGCCGCCUAGAGCAUUGUGCUGGUGGAAGAGCGAGCAAGAUAAGGCUGCAGGGGAGGAGGCACACAGGG